rnacentral:rRNA from 1 species
UACGUAGGGGGCAAGCGUUGUCCGGAUUUAUUGGGCGUAAAGAGCUCGUAGGCGGUUUGGUAGGUCGGGUGUGAAAUCUCCGUGCUCAACACGGAGGGGCCACCCGAUACUGCCAUGACUUGAGUCCGGUAGAGGAGAGUGGAAUUCCCGGUGUAGCGGUGAAAUGCGCAGAUAUCGGGAGGAACACCAGUAGCGAAGGCGGCUCUCUGGGCCGGUACUGACGCUGAGACGCGAAAGCGUGGGGAGCGAACAGG